GAUGAACGCUAGCUACAGGCUUAACACAUGCAAGUCGAGGGGCAGCGGGGGUGCAGGCUUGCCUGCACCUGCCGGCGACCGGCGCACGGGUGAGUAACACGUAUGGAACCUGCCCGCCACAGGGGGAUAACCCGGGGAAACCCGGCCUAAUACCCCAUGCCGCCCGGACCGGGCAUCCGGUCCGGGCGAAAGGAGGAAUCCGGUGGCGGCUGGGCAUGCGGCGCAUGAGCUUGACGGCGGGGUAACGGCCCACCGUGGCGACGAUGCGUAGGGGUUCUGAGAGGAAGGCCCCCCACACUGGAACUGAGACACGGUCCAG
rnacentral:rRNA from 1 species